GAACUUAGCACUGAAGGAUACGAACAGCAUGAUUGUCCUUUGUAACUUUUCUUCCAAGGCAGCUGCUUUGAUGGCAGAAGAGCUGGCUGUGGAGGGUGACCCAAAGAGCCUCUAGCGGAGGCAGCCUGCCUGCUCCUGGGUCUCUGAGUUUCAUGCUGCCCCUCUUCCCCACCCACCCCACUUCUGAAGCUGAAAAAGGACAGAAACCGGCCCUCUAACCUGGAUAGGUUGGUCUUCUUCCUUUCCUUUUUUUAAACAAAUUCAUUUAACAAAGAUCUGUACAUAUUUCUAGUUUUUUAUCUUACGACACGUUUGCGUUUUACGACUUGACGGAUGACGGUUUUAUAGAAUUAUUUUGGUACAAUCCCUUGUGCCGUUUAGCCUGUAAAGUGCCGCUUCAAGGCUUCUUAGGAGCUGUUGACUUUUCACGUGGAUACUUUUUCAUUGCUCACUUACUUCUGGGGUUGUUUACACUUGGUUUCCUGAGCCAUAUUGCCUCAUCAGUUGCUAUGCUCCAUUUUUUGUCCUUUUACCGCUAUUUGGCUCAUUGCUCACCUCUGCCUCUGCCAUAAUUUUGUGUAAGUCAGGACUGGAACCCUUGCCUAUCAAGGAUGCUGUCUCAAUGUGUAACAGCCUUUUUCUUAGUUCUUUCCAACAAUUCCCAGUGGAAAGUAUUAAACUGAUUGGUAAAUUUUCAGGUGGGUGCCCUAUGUUUCUUGGUUUCGGUCUUUGGCGCUGACAGCUGUGCGGUCAGGCUGGGAGGAAGGUGCAUCAACAGGCCACCCUGCAUGCUUGCUCACAGCUAAUAAAUUGGGGCAAGGCGUAAGUACAAAACCAUGAGAGCCAGUGUGGUGUAGUGGUUAAGAGCGGUAGUCUCGUAAUCUGGGAAACCGGGUUCGCGUCUCCGCUCCUCCACAUGCAGCUGCUAGGUGACCUUGGGCCAGUCACACUUCUUUGAAGUCUCUCAGCCCCACUCACCUCACAGAGUGUUUGUUGUGGGGGAGGAAGGGAAAGGAGAAUGUUAGCUGCUUUGAGACUCCUUAAAGGGAGUGAAAGGCGGGAUAUCAAAUCCCAACUCUUCCUCUUCUUCAUGAUCUGACUUGGACACUAAGAGCACGCACCAGGAAACUAUUGGAAAAGGCCUUCUCUGGACAUGCCCACAAGCCAAAUGUCAAGAGAAGAUGGGCCUUCUGAAGUCUUGCUCACAGCAGGAUUAUAUUCACUGAGGCUGUGCAGAGCGAGGUUCAUAGACUUAGAAUUGGCCCAAAGGGUUGUCUAUUUCAACUUCCUGCAAUGCAGAUGGAGGCUUCUACUUACAAGAGCAAUGCUGAAGUGGAAAGCGGCUCUUGGAUGCUCUUCAAAAGUUCCAGGUGAGGUGAAUCUUUACCACCAGCUUGUCAGCUGGAAUUUACUUCUGUGUGGGAACAUCAAACUAUCCAGAAGCCAAUGUCUCUGGUCUUCAGUGAAAUAAAUAGUAGCAUCUUCCCUUUCAGUAUUGUUCUGCUCUGAAAAUUGGCACCCGUAUUCUUCAAGAAUUUGACACGCACCUUUGUUUUGGAACCACUGUUCCUCGAUUUCCCUCCCCACGGAGGGCAUUAAGAGGGACUGGCUUGCAGUGGUGUGACGAAGAACUCACAACAGCGGUUGUCUUGCCAUUUUCUGCAGAAAUUCUGUGGCAACUUACAUGUGCAAAGAGUAGACUGUGGUAAAACAAGUGUGGCUUUGAGGCUGUUCUUAAAUUCCAGUGGCUGACCCCUCCCUGCUAGCAUAAGCAGUUCCCAGAAUGCUCUGCUUUCACCACUCUGGUUAACAAGACCUGGCAGCCCUUGCCAGAUCCGUCACUUUGAACAAUAAGGAAAAAAAUGGAUUAGAUUAAGGUCAGUAUGGCAACUUGAGGUUGAAGAUCAAAUGCUGUUAUUUCCCCCCCUUUAUUACGAAAGAUUAAUUUUAUUUCCUUAACUGUUUUAAGUGGGUUUAUUUUUUUUAAAAAUGCCUUGUUAUGCCUGCCAGCAUAUCUUAUUUUAAAGGAGGUUAAGUGGCUGAGAUCUCUGGGUUGGUUUUGGUUCUAAGUAUGUGUUUCAUAAUACAAUACAAGGCAAGGCAGAUACUGGAUAGGAGUUUUGCUUUCAACGGACAAGUCCAUGGGGAGUAGGUUGCUGAGGAAUUCUUGAGAAUACCAACUGCCCACUCAGUAGCUCAACCACUAAGCAUGUGUAGAACUUAGGCAUGGGUAUUUUGUUAACUUCAGAGGAAUACUCGCACAGAUUUGCCAUCACUUUUGAAGUAAACCAGGGGAGCCCUUGCAGGAAAGAGAGCUUCAUACGUACAUAGGAAACCUCUGCAUCAGUAGCUGUUUUCUGAGUUGGGUGGACAGAAAUCAGUAAGCAAAAUGGGACAAAAUGAGUUGUUCAACCUUCUGUUUUUCCACCCUGGCAGUGCUUCUGGGAUAAUGCGUUUAGAGCCACCUUCCCCAACCACGUCCUCCACAUUUUUUGGACUGCAACUUGUAUCAUCCUUUUUAAAAAAAUAAUUUUCAUUUUCUAAUAUGCAAAAAGCAGUAAUAGCAAUAAUAAAGGAAAAAGAAAAAGUGAUCUAAAGAAGAAAGAGAAUGGAAUAUGAGGUGAGAAGGGAGUGGUAGUACUCCAAAAACAGCAUUAUAAUUCCAGACGAUUGUCCUUCAUAAGCAUAUUAUCCAAAGGAAUCCCUGAGGUAGCUGCCAGUUGUGUUCCUUUAAUGUAUGAUGCAAUAGAAGGUUUUAGAAAAGCUGUCCUUUGCUUUUGGAUUGCGCAGGGUUCAGCUGCAUUUUGUUAUACUUUCUUCCGUUAAAGCAGUGGCCCAGAUCUGGUGGUACCAGGAGUCUUGCAAGUCUCCUGCAGCUGACUUCCAGCGUUCGGCCGAACCAACUUGACAGUUGGCUGAUGCAAGCUGUAGUCCAACAAAUCUGGAGGGCACCAAGUUGGGGAAGGCAACUAUAGAGGAUUUGUGUGUGUGUGGAAAACUUCCAACUUUCCCUUUGGCCGGAAAAAAACCCUGUUUGCAAAGGUAUCAGAUUCAUAACAGUACCUGCCAAUCAUUCGUGGAACUGGAAAUGCAGGUGGGAUUCUUUUGUUCUGAUGCAAUGUUUUCCACAUUUAUUUUCCCUGUUGGAAUUUUCUCAGCAACCCCUCACUAUGGUGGGCAUCAAGAUCCAACUAGCUCAGAUGAGCUUGUCUGGUUUGUUAUUCAGAGUAGCAGGGACUUGUCCAGGAAAGAGGAGUUUGUUCUGAGGCUGGCUGGCUGGCUGGCAGCAUGGGUGUAGCUGUGUCACCAUCCUAAAUUCAAUCGUCAUUCUCUCAAAAUCAUCUUUCUUCACCAUUUCAGUGUGUCUUUUUGUUGUACCAUGGUUCGGUUCGGUUCUCUUCCCCUGCCCAUCAGUAUUAUAUAAAUGUAAAUAUUAUGCAUUGGCGUACAUAAAUAAUUUUACUAAAACUUUU
rnacentral:lncRNA from 1 species